GGGGGGGGGGGGGGGGGGGGCGGGGGGGGGCGGGUCGGGCGGGGGGACGGGGGGGGGGCUUCGGUGAUGUUAGCGGCGGACGGGGGAGUAACACGUGGGUCACCGACCUAUAAGACUGGGAGCACUGCGGGAAACCGGAGCGAAUACCGGCGUAUAGUGUGAACCUCAUGGGCCCACAGUGCAAGACGGUCCUGCUGUCACUCAUACAUGCAUCGGCGCGGCAUGCGCUAGUGGGUAAGUUAACGGCUUACCAAGGCAACGAUGCAUAGCCGACCUGAGAGGGUGAUCGGCCACCCUGGAACUGCGACACGGUCCAGACUCCUACGGGAGGCAGCAGUAGGGAAUCUUCCGCAAUGGGCGAAAGCCUGACGCAGCAACGCCGCGUGAGUGAUGAAGGUCUUCGGAUCGUAAAACUCUGUUAUUAGGGAAGAACAUAUGUGUAAGUAACUGUGCACAUCUUGACGGUACCUAAUCAGAAAGCCACGGCUAACUACGUG
rnacentral:rRNA from 1 species